GCUUAUCACCAUUCCAGAUUGAAUAUACCCGAUCUCGUCUGAUCUCGGAAGUCAAGCAAUCUUGGGCUUGGUUAGUACUUGGAUGGGUGACCGCUUGGGAAUAUCAAGUGUGAUAAGCA
rfam:Ciona savignyi cont_51393, whole genome shotgun sequence.